rnacentral:rRNA from 1 species
GCGCGAAAACUUUACAAUGCUGGCAACAGCGAUAAGGGAACCUCGAGUGCCAGGUUACAAAUCUGGCUGUCGAGAUGCCUAAAAAGCAUUUCAUAGCAAGGGCCGGGCAAGACCGGUGCCAGCCGCCGCGGUAACACCGGCGGCUCGAGUGGUAACCGUUAUUAUUGGGUCUAAAGGGUCUGUAGCCGGCCGGAUAAGUCUCUUGAGAAAUCUGGCAGCUUAACUGUCAGGCUUUCAGGAGAUACUGUCUGGCUCGAGGCCGGGAGAGGUGAGAGGUACUUCAGGGGUAGGGGUGAAAUCUUGUAAUCCUUGAAGGACCACCAGUAGCGAAGGCGUCUCACCAGAACGGACCUGACGGCAAGGGACGAAAGCUAGGGGCACGAACC